rnacentral:rRNA from 1 species
ACACUCCUACGGGAGGCAGCAGUGGGGAAUAUUGCACAAUGGGCGCAAGCCUGAUGCAGCCAUGCCGCGUGUGUGAAGAAGGCCUUCGGGUUGUAAAGCACUUUCAGCGGGGAGGAAGGCGAUACGGUUAAUAACCGUGUUGAUUGACGUUACCCGCAGAAGAAGCACCGGCUAACUCCGUGCCAGCAGCCGCGGUAAUACGGAGGGUGCAAGCGUUAAUCGGAAUUACUGGGCGUAAAGCGCACGCAGGCGGUCUGUCAAGUCGGAUGUGAAAUCCCCGGGCUCAACCUGGGAACUGCAUUCGAAACUGGCAGGCUUGAGUCUUGUAGAGGGGGGUAGAAUUCCAGGUGUAGCGGUGAAAUGCGUAGAGAUCUGGAGGAAUACCGGUGGCGAAGGCGGCCCCCUGGACAAAGACUGACGCUCAGGUGCGAAAGCGUGGGGAGCAAACAGGAUUAGAAACCCUAGUAGUCCCAUG